AUCCCAGAUAAUGUUGGAUCUUGUGAUUAUCCAAUUCAUGGGAGGCUAGUAACAACAUUGGAGUUUGCUGAUAGCACUUUUGGGUCCUUGCAAGGUGCUUAAUUAGUACUCACCAUGCAUGU
rfam:Populus trichocarpa scaffold_13_contig_4, whole genome shotgun sequence.